rnacentral:rRNA from 1 species
GACGUAGGGUGCGAGCGUUGUCCGGAUUUAUUGGGCGUAAAGAGCUCGUAGGCGGCUUGUUACGUCGGCUGUGAAAACCCGCGGCUCAACCGCGGGCCUGCAGCCGAUACGGGCAGGCUAGAGUUCGGUAGGGGAGACUGGAAUUCCUGGUGUAGCGGUGAAAUGCGCAGAUAUCAGGAGGAACACUGGUGGCGAAGGCGGGUCUCUGGGCCGAUACUGACGCUGAGGAGCGAAAGCGUGGGGAGCGAACAGG